rnacentral:lncRNA from 1 species
AGUCCUUUGUGAUAUGCACUUCAUCUUUCCUGUGCUUUCAGAACUCUGGGGGCCAGGAAUCAUAAUUAUAAUUGUGCACUUGGGAGUUAGAGAAUCUUACAGCUCUUAAAGUAUCUACCUCUUUCCAUCUUGACUCAAACUUGUGACAAUUUCUCUUCUACAAAGCUUCCUCCUGUUCCACCUGGAAGAUGCUUGACACAGUCUCCGGGAGCUCCUCAUAAAUGCUCGGCUGGAGAAAAAGGAAAGAACAAAAGGUUCAUCUCAUCAGUCCUCCACGGCCUUCAGUUCUACAGCGUAUUCCAUCCAGUGACAGAAUGGUCUUCUUUCCCCACAGCACACAGAAAUGGAAUGGGAGACCAGCAGGAGGGGCCGGGAAGACAGGAAGAUCACAAGAACUAAAAGUAUAUAUAAAAACGCCAUGAGGGGGUCCAUGGCUUCAUACGCUAAUUCUCAAAAUAACUCAUAGGUAAGGGGAAAGCAAGCCUGCUCCCCUGAAACUUUUUCUAGCAGCAGCUCUGAUGUAGUCUGUGACCUGAUCCUCUGCCAAUGCUCAAUCCAAUCGGCUAAUAAAUGGACUCUAAGAGACAGUUGUGAAGUGACGGUUCCCUACAACUCUCCGAGACAAUUCUGCCUGUGCCUGGACUGCUCACGAUGGGCACAUGGUCACGUGGUACAGCUACAGGAGCUACCGUGGAAUAAGAACAAUAGAAAAGAGGGUCUUCUAGCUCUCAGGUUUCAAGGGAACCUGGCAGAACGGAAGGAAAGGGAGAAGAAAAAUCACUACUGAUUUCAGAUGGGAGAGUGAUGAGUUUGGGUCAUCCUUUUGCACUUCCUCGCCUCUCUGAACUGAAUUUCUUGGCCAGAGUAAACUCGCAGGGAAGUAUUACAUGCAAGGUGCUAUUGGGAUGAGCACCAGUGUUUCUACCCAGCGCUCAGGGUAAGUCCAAAUAGAGAAACAACAGGGAGAUGUAUUCAUUAAGAAUGGAAAACAGAAAUGACCUAGGACCUGACCUAGGACCAUUUCCCAUGGAGAAUCUAAAAGCUGCAAGCUUCCGGGGAAGAAAUGGACAAGUGUGUAGCAUGCCAAGGCACUGGAGCAGCGUGUGAUUCUCAGAGCACUUACAAGGCCCGGCUGGCACAGCCUGAGAAUGACAAAUCACUUCUAUGUGCCCCACAGGUAGAUACAGAUUAGAAUGUUUUGGACAAAGAUAGAUGCCUCAGCAGAAGUGCUCAGUAUGGCCUAUGACACAGGGAAAAUGUACCCCAAUAUCUAGUCAACAUACCUACUUGGGAGUAUACUUAAUAUGAACACAGACUAUUUUAUAAAUUAACUGCACCUAAUAAUAAUAAUAACAAUAAUAAUAAUAAGCAAAAACAAAAAAUCAGUCUUCCAUCACAUCGGCAUAGUUUUCACAUGUCCUGUGUGAUAGUUUGUAUAUGCUUGGCCCAGAGAGUGGCACUAUUAGAAGGUGUGACCCUGUUAGAGUUUGUGUGUCACUGUGGGUGUGGCUUUAAGACCCUUAUCCUAGCUGCCUGGAAGCCAGUGUUCUGCCAGCAGUCUUCAGAUGAAGAUGUAGAACUCUCAGCUCCUCUUGUACCAUGCUUCUCUGGAUGUCGCCAUGUUCCUGACUUGAUGAUACUGGACUGAACCUCUGAACCUGUAAGCCAGCCCCAGUUAAAUGUUGUUCUUAUAAGAGUUGCUUUAGGUCACUGUGUCUGUUCAAAGCAGAAAAAAACCCUAAUUAAGGCAUCCUGGAGGACAUGACAGUAAAAUAUAAUAGUUUAUGAAUAUAUAAGGCCAGAAUCUAAUACCAUUUUAUAUAUAUAUAUAUAUAUAUAAACACAAAAGAUUUCCCCAUUUAACCACUGUAUUAUUAUCCAGGGAUGGCACUACUAUGCCAGUUGUAGCCUCUCUGUUUUAUUAUUAUCAUUGUUAUUAUUAUUUAUACAAGUACAUUGUAGCUGUCUUCAGACACACACUAGAAGAGUGCAUCAGAUCCCAUUACAGAUGGUCGUGAGCCACCAUGUGGCUGCUGGGAAUUGAAUGCAAGACCUUUCAGAAGAGCAGUCAGUGCUCUUAACCACUGAGCCAUCUCUCCAGGCCUGUAGCCUCUCUGUUAACAGCACUUUUAUCACCAAGCUCAUCUGUCUCUCUCUCUGCAAUUACACAAAUGUACACACUGAAUAAAGAAGCCCAUUCUGUAAAUGGAGCACCAGGCAUACUGGGAUUAGCAGCCAAAUGAAACAGAUGAAUGGAUUUUUGUUAAUAAGGAAGAGGUGUUAUUAUUGUUAGUUGAUGCGAUUUUCAACAAAAUGUUAAUAAUUUUUUCAACAACUACACACUGAAGCUAUUCACUUCAUUUUGAAUAGCCUGCUCUUCCUUCUAAAACUGCCCAUGAAGGUAUAUUUCUCCAUGUCUUCUUGUAUUGCCUUUUUUUUCCAAUCCUUCCUGUACUGUUAUUGUCUAGUAAUAAGUUAUUUUUCUUUCCAGAAACUGAUUGUGUCCUGAUGUGUUAAGAUUCUAACCUAUGAGACUUGUUUGUAUUUUAAGGCACUUUGUCACCCUGUCCCAUGUCAAUAUUGCUUUGAUGUUCCAUUUAAGCAGAGUAUCAUUUGUUCCAUUUCAAGAGUCCUUAACUGGUCUUAGCAUAUGUGGCUGUUUCUCCUGCUGCACACACAUUAGUCUGACGCUGGUAUCCUGUUGUAUGUUCUGCUGCUGACUGCAUUGCCUGCUUUGUUCUUUCAUUCUCUGGUCCUUCUGGCACACUACGGUUCCUUACAUUCAUGAUUCAGAAUGUAUCAAUAGAUAAAAGCUUGUGACAACUGCAUUAUGGAAUUUCAUUACAAAUCAUGAUCGUUUUCCCGGUAUGUUACAAAUAAGUCAUAUUAAUCUUGACAUCACUAUACAGACAAAAAAAUAUAACUAUGAAUUUUAUUUCAUGACAGUAAAUAGGAUAAAAUAUAUCAAAUAAGAAGAAAAGGCUAGACUAGCUACCUCGGAGAUGUCAUCUCACCAUGCAAAGUCCUCCAUUCCUUAAAUACCACAGGACAGUUCUGCCUUGGGACUCUGCAGUUGCCCUUGCUGCACCUGGAACAAUCCUCAUCUACUCAUGAACCACAGGCUGGCCUCCAUGUUUCCUUCAGACAGGCCCCGGAGACUCAGUCUGUGGCUUCCUGCUAGCAAGAAUGCAGAUGUGAUAGAUUACCUGUGGUAGCCAUACUGGACCUCAAGAUGACCGUGGGAACGAGGAUCACGGGAGGCGGGGCUCUGAGCUGACAGGAAUCUAGACCUUGGCCUGCCAGAUGCCAUAUCUCUCCUGCACUACCUUUAUAAGACAUUUUUUUUUUGAACGAGGAAGAAAUAAACUUUGAUGUAGUCUAAGCCACUGU